rnacentral:rRNA from 1 species
CCAAGGAGUCUAACAUGUGUGCGAGUCACCGGGUCUUGCCCAGGCUCGGAGGCGAAAUGAAAGUGAAGGCCGAUCUGGGCGUCGGCUGCGGUGUGAUCCGUGUGUGCACUAUCCCGUCGAUCCCUUGUGGAAGGCGGGGCCACCGGCGCAACACCGGCCCGUCCCGUCCGCAGCGUCGGUGGGGCGGAGCGAGAGCAUACACGUUGGGACCCGAAAGAUGGUGAACUAUGCCUGGGCAGGACGAAGCCAGAGGAAACUCUGGUGGAGGUCCGCAGCGAUUCUGACGUGCAAAUCGAUCGUCAGACCUGGGUAUAGGGGCGAAAGACUAAUCGAACCAUCUAGUAGCUGGUUCCCUCCGAAGUUUCCCUCAGGAUAGCUGGCGCUCGAGGGAGGCAGUCUCAUCCGGUAAAGCGAAUGAUUAGAGGCCUUGGGGCCGAAACGACCUCAACCUAUUCUCAAACUUUCAAUGGGUGAGAAGUCCGGCUUGCUCGACUGAAGCCCGGACGUCCCAGGAUGCGAGUGCCCAGUGGGCCACUUUUGGUAAGCAGAACUGGCGCUGUGGGAUGAACCAAACGCUGGGUUAAGGCGCCCGAUGCGAGACGCUCAUCAGAUCCCAUGAAAGGUGUUGGUUGCUAUAGACAGCAGGACGGUGGCCAUGGAAGUCGGAAUCCGCUAAGGAGUGUGUAACAACUCACCUGCCGAAGCAACUAGCCCUGAAAAUGGAUGGCGCUGUAGCGUCGAGCCCAUACCCGGCCGCCCCGGCUGGGCACGGAAGCUUAUGCCGGGGUGAGUAGGAGGUGUCGCAGCGGCGUGCGUUGAAGGUGCCGGGCGUGGGCCCGCCUGGAGCCGCCGCUGGUGCAGAUCUUGGUGGUAGUAGCAAAUACUCAAGUGAGAACCUUGAGGACUGAGGUGGAGAAGGGUUCCAUGUGAACAGCAGUUGAACAUGGGUCAGUCGGUCCUAAGGGAUAGGAGAAAUCCGUUCCGAAGCGGGACCUGCGUGCGCCGUAAGGUCCCGUGGUCGACCGAAAGGGAAUCGGGUUAAUAUUCCCGAACCCGGAUGCGGAGAUCGGCCCUUCGGGGUCAACUGCGGUAACGCAACCAAACUCGGAGACGUCGAUCGGGGUCCCGGGAAGAGUUGUCUUUUCUUUGUAAGGGAUCGGCUCCCUGGAAUCGGCUCGCCCGGAGAUAGGGAUGCUGUUCCCGUAAAGCACCGCGGCUCUUGCGGUGUCCGGAGCGCUCCGGUCGGCCCUUGAAAAUCCGAGGGCGAGUGUGAUUUUCGUGCCGGACCGUACCCAUAUCCGCAGCAGGUCUCCAAGGUGAACAGCCUCUAGUCGAUGGAACA